UACGGGGGGAGCAAGCGUUGUUCGGAUUUACUGGGCGUAAAGGGCGCGUAGGCGGCGCAACAAGUCACUUGUGAAAUCUCCGGGCUUAACCCGGAGCGGUCAAGUGAUACUGUCGUGCUAGAGUGCGGAAGGGGCUACUGGAAUUCUCGGUGUAGCGGUGAAAUGCGUAGAUAUCUGGAGGAACACCGGUGGCGAAGGCGGCAUCCUGGACCAACACUGACA
rnacentral:rRNA from 1 species